AACGGCCAUACCAUGCUGAAUAUACCGGUUCUCGUUAGAUCACCGAAGUCAAGCAUCAUUGGGAACGGUCAGUACUUGGGUGGGGGACCACCUGGGAACACCGUGUGCCGUU
rnacentral:rRNA from 1 species